CUCGGCAGAGAGACAGACAGACGGAUGGAAAAAAUGGUGCCGAAACAGCAGGCAGGAUAGAACAACAGUGAUGCAUGGGCUUCAAAAGAGGUCAGUAAAAGCAGCAGCCAGCAGAUACAGAAUGGAUUGGAAUCAAUCCCAAGUCGACAGAAUGCUUCCAAAUGGCACCAACCAACGGAUCCCAUCCCUGCUUAGAAGUAAGCUUCAUUGGGUUCAAGGGGACUUACUCCCAGUAGCGCACCAGUUUUGAUGGUGAUGCCAGUGCUGAAGAAACAGAGUGGUCCACUGAGACCCCCGGUAAAUUUCAAAUGGUCCAUGGAGGAAAAGAAGAAGUUUGAGAUCUGCUGCCAUCAUGGAACACAGCACGGCAUCCAACACAGGAACCCUAUCUCGGGAUGCGUCACAACACUGAAGACUGGGCAAUUAAAAAUGGCGGUGUUCUAUGGCGUCUCAAAUCCCGUUGCUGCUGCCAAUUGACAGCACUGAAGGGGACCCACUCAAGAGUGCCUGUGGUGAAAGGAUGGAGCCAGAUGAGACUUCAGCCCCAGUGGGCCGUGCCAGGGUCUCGACAGGUGCCCAGGUAUACUAGGUGCUGCCAUCAGGCCCGCCUUCAACUAUCACACUUUCAUUCAUCCCUCAAUCUACCUCUCUGUGAAAACACAGGAGUUAGUCUCCUGGACUCCUAGUGGGAGGAAGACUGGGAUAUAAAUCCAAUAAAUAAAUAAAUCCUUUCCCCCUCCCUCCCUCCCUCCCUCCCUCCCACUGGCACGCUUUGCAUGACAUCAGUUUGCAUUUUGUGGCUUGGAAAAGCCUCCUGACAGUUACAGAAAGUCCUGCUCUUUCCUGCUUGCGGAGGAUAAUUUACACCUACUUCAGCACCUCCAGCUUACUGACAGGCUGCCUCUGCCAAAGGAUUAGGCAAUGCAAUGCGGGGGAGGGAUUCACAAAUCACGCCAUUCCCUGGUUUAAAAGCCGCCCUCCAGUGGAGAAGGCACCCCCCAGUUGCCUACUUUGGACUUGCCACGCAACUGGACUUGGGUGCAGUCCCAUCAAACUUCCCCGACUGCAGCAAAUGGGCCCAUCUCUGAGCAAGUGAGUGGCUCCUGCUGCUGCUGUCAGGCCAGUGGUGGCUGGUGGGGCAGAAGGUGAGGCACCCAAAAAGGAGGUGGUGCCAAAGCCAAUGACAAGCGGAGCCAACUAACUCUAGUCUCCUCCCCUGUCCUCUCCCUCCCUGAUGAAUUCUGCAGGGGCAGCACUGAGAGGGAGGAGGAGGAGGAACCGAGGAAGCUGCGGCCAGGGCCACCCCACCCCGGAGGGGUUGCAAGUAACUACACGGGCAAGUGGGGGCUGGCUCACGACAGGCUGAGGUUGGUGGGCAGCGCCCCCUUCCCUAAUGGGUGAGCCUCCACUGGGUUAGAUCUCUUGCCUAAGGUGGUACAAUUUUCUGUUUUUUAAAAUACGUUGCCAAAGAAACACUCCUAAUACAGGGAAGAGUUUAAAAGUGCAGAGGGGAAAACAAACUUUCCCAAAAACAUAUACAGUUGUAUGGCAAAAAGGCAGAAGUGGAGAACUAACAAGGAAGAUCACUCUCCACACUUCCCGGAGAAGCUGCUGUUCCCAGCAGCCAAAACAACACCUUGCUGACUAACCAGUUUUGUUAUGUCAUAAUAAGCUGUCAUGGACUGCAGUCUACCUCAUCAGAUGCGUGAAGUGUUAUCUUGAGUUACAGAUACAUAUACACAUUUUUUGGGUGUGUGUCUGUAAACAGUGAGGUCAGAAGGAAAUGAAAUGCCCCCAAAUACUGAGAGUAAUAAUUACAGUAGCCAUUCAUAAAAAACAAGUGUUGAUAACACAACUAGCAAGCUAAUUCACACAUGCAGUGCGACUCAAACAAACAAACAUAUUGCUGAAUCCCCUUCAAGCCACAAGUGGUAGAAUUGACAUGGAGACAGAAAACUGGAACUUUUGCAAGUGCCACAUCAUAUUCCUUUCUGCACUUUCAAGAAAUUAAUCCUUCCGUGUGGCAGCACCCGCACCUUGGAACUCCCUGCCCAGUGACAUUCGACAGGCACCUUUGCUGUACUGUUUCCGGCGCCUGCUUGAAAAAAGGUGUUUUUGUUUGUUUGUUUGUUUGUUUAAGCAAGCCUGGAAGAAGAGGGAGGGAAAGAUUGCAGUGAAGUGCAUUAAAA